rnacentral:lncRNA from 1 species
GUGGUUAGUUUAAAGCCGGAAAUAAAUGUAAAGAAAUUGAUGUGUGGAUGUAAACUGGACUGUAUGUAAAGGGACUUUGGGUUUAUCUUGUUAUUAUGGCAGGCCCCGUCACAGGCUGAAAAAUGUGGUACUUUGGUAGGCCCCCUCACAGGCUAGAAAUGUGGAACUAUAAUAUGCAGGCCCCGCCACAGGCUGAAAAUGUGAUACUUUGGCAGGCCCCCUCACAGGCUAGAAAUGUGGAACUAUAAUGUGCAGGCCCCACCACAGGCUCAAAAUGUGAUACUUUGGUAGGCCCCAUCACAGGCUAGAAAUGUGGAACUAUAUUGUGCAGGCCCUGCCACAGGCUGAAAAUGUGAUAAUUUGGUUGCCCCACCACAGGCUGAGAAAUGUGACCGAGAUUUGACCCAAAGUCGGAAAGAUAAUUAA